rnacentral:rRNA from 1 species
CGUGUAGGCGGCCAGGUAGGUCUGCUGUGAAAACUCGAGGCUUAACCUCGAGACGUCGGCGGAAACCAUCUGGCUAGAGUCCGGAAGAGGAGAGUGGAAUUCCUGGUGUAGCGGUGAAAUGCGCAGAUAUCAGGAAGAACACCCGUGGCGAAGGCGGCUCUCUGGGACGGUACUGACGCUGAGACGCGAAAGCGUGGGGAGCGAGCA